rnacentral:rRNA from 1 species
GGGGAAUAUUGCACAAUGGGCGCAAGCCUGAUGCAGCAACGCCGCGUGAGGGACGACGGCCUUCGGGUUGUAAACCUCUUUUGGCAGGGAAGAAGCGAAAGUGACGGUACCUGCAGAAAAAGCACCGGCUAACUACGUGCCAGCAGCCGCGGUGAUACGUAGGGUGCAGGCGUUGUCCGGAAUUAUUGGGCGUAAAGAGCUCGUAGGCGGUUUGUCGCGUCUGCUGUGAAAACCCGAGGCUCAACCUCGGGCCUGCAGUGGGUACGGGCAAACUAGAGUGCGGUAGGGGAGAUGGGAAUUCCUGGUGUAGCGGUGGAAUGCGCAGAUAUCAGGAGGAACACCGAUGGCGAAGGCAGAUCUCUGGGCCGUAACUGACGCUGAGGAGCGAAAGCAUGGGGAGCGAACA